GAAAUGCGAUAAGUAGUGUGAAUUGCAGAAUUCAGUGAAUCAUCGAAUCUUUGAACGCACAUUGCGCCCUUUGGUAUUCCAAAGGGCAUGCCUGUUCGAGCGUCAUUUGUACCCUCAAGCUUUGCUUGGUGUUGGGCGUCUUGUCUCUAGCUUUGCUGGAGACUCGCCUUAAAGUAAUUGGCGGCCGGCCUACUGGUUUCGGAGCGCAGCACAAGUCGCACUCUCUAUCAGCAAAGGUCUAGCAUCCAUUAAGCCUUUUUUCAACUUUUGACCUCGGAUCAGGUAGGGAUACCCGCUGAACUUAAGC
rnacentral:misc_RNA from 1 species